UACAGAGGAUGCAAGCGUUAUCCGGAAUGAUUGGGCGUAAAGAGCUUGUAGGCGGUUUGUCGCGUCUGCUGUGAAAACCUAAGGCUCAACCUUGGGCUUGCAGUGGGUACGGGCAGACUAGAGUGCGGUAGGGGUGACUGGAAUUCCUGGUGUAGCGGUGGAAUGCGCAGAUAUCAGGAGGAACACCGAUGGCGAAGGCAGGUCACUGGGCCGCAACUGACGCUGGAGGAGCGGAAAAGCAUGGGGAGCGAACAGG
rnacentral:rRNA from 1 species